rnacentral:lncRNA from 1 species
GAUGAUGUGCUAGCUAUAAAGGGAAUGACAUUUGAGAUGGUAUACUGAGUCAAUCGAACAACAAAAAGGAAGAACAAAAUUGCUGUAUUACAUAUUUACAUGCAGUCACGUUGGGCACAAACUGAAAAAUGAGUUCGCGAUAAGAUAACAUAAGCCUGUCGUAGUUAAACAUAACGGAGAUGCACAAAGAAGCUCUUCGCAGUUCACCGGAUGAAAUAGUUUGGUGUUCUGGAUAGGUGGACUCCCGGUUGUGCCCAGCUGAGGCAACUGCCACACCCCACUGCCACCGGACGGCGCCCCCAUCCAGGAGUACACAAGUUGCCCCACGCCAACCGAGGUCUUUCAAAUCUUCUCUAUCAUUGUCAUCACAAAAGGACUUUCAUCAGUGGCUUGCUGACAAUCUCCCCCAAACCCUACAAGAGAUUCAAGGAAGUUUAAACUUCCAUUUUGCACAUGUGCAAUUGAGUCAUUCACCUUCCUAGAUUAGGUCAGAUCUAUUAUCCAUAAUUUAAAUAUGCAGUCGACGCACCCUACCGUAAAUCCCAACAUGUAUGUGCUCACAUCACCAUCAUAUGUACAUUUUCUCCUACUCCACCUAUUAGCUAUGCCUACGGCUACCCCACCAUUGAUGUCUCCUCUACCUAAUUGAGCAUCAUCCCGAGUAGCAUCACUCAUCGUUACAUCCUAAUCGAGUAUAAUUUUUUGCAAGAAUCAUUUUCUUUUACGCGGAACAAUCUAUUAUCCAUUGGACAAUUUAAAAUGAAUGUACACAUUCUGCUUUACCGAAACUCAAAACUAUCAUGAGUGAAUAUUCUUCCAGAAUGAACUUGAUUUCUUAUAAUAAUACACUUACAAUGGUGUGUACUAGAUAAAAAUGAUUAAAAGGAAGCAUUUCCCAGUGGUAACCGUAAAAUAAACACUGCAAAUCAAGCGAUAGAAAUUUCAGAUUUAUUGAAGCCUGGCACUUGAAAGAUUAUUUUUAUGUUUUCCUAAAAUAAGUCUCCCAUGAACACAUUGCACGAAUGAGCAGGAAGACAGAGUGCAAACUUAUAUGUACACUAACUUGUCCCUUCAUCCAUUUUGAAUAGACCAGCUACAAAAGCUCACUUGGUUCAUUCUCGCCAGAAUUCACUGACAUGAUAAUCAACCAUGUCCUGCAGUGUCCCCAAAAAGGUAGAUAGUCUAGAAGUUGAACUAAUCAAGUUUCAAAGAAAAUGUAUUUUACUUUUUACAUAAAUGAAAAGAGUAGCGACAGCUAAAGUAUCUCAAGGGAAUGUGAAGAUGGCAGUAAACACAGGAAACAAACCCGAAAACAAAGUGAAGCCUUCAUCUUAUAUGCCAAUCGAUGCUCAUAGCGUCAACAUGAUACUGUAUGAAAUGACAGAGAAAUUAUUCGUACAGACCUAAAAUAUUUCGUCUACAUACAGGCCACAACACCAACAUAUUGGGUGUAUACAACUUAGUAGAAAAGGGUGGCGUGGCCUACUGGAAACAAAGACAUGCAAUAAGGAAAUAUAGAAGCAAUAAUAGUAGAUGUGGUAGAAGCAGUAUUGGUGUUAAUCAGCUCAAAACUCCCACACCUGGCGCAUCCAACCUGACAAUUAAGUGCACACAAAAAUGGUUUCGCUAUCCCAUAAAUAAGACCAACAAAAUUUAGCAUCUUUACGGGAAAAUACACCUAUAUAUAUUUCUGGGAUUUCCCACAAAGAAAAUCAUGGGAAGUACCUAAAAGAAGGUUAACAUAGAGCUAACAAAUACGUACAAACCAGACAAUAAAUGCAUAGCGUCUGGGGAACGAAACCACUACCAGAUACAUGGUAUCGCAUGAGUGACUGCCCUUCCUCUAGCCUGCAACAUCUAGGAGCUGCAUAUAUGCUUUCAGGUUUGUGCUAAGUCUGCAAAUUCAGAAUAUGCCCAAAGACAAUGUACAUAGAUUUAGUUCUUUGCGAUCCAAUAUAUUCAGGAAAGAACAGUUUUAGUUCCAUAGAGAAGGAAUAAAAAAAUUCGACCAAGAUACCAUCAGCCUGCUUAUGCGAUCAACAUACAAUUACUGGAUUUCAACUUAAACAAAUUCUUUGGAGAUGAUGUGCUAGCUAUAAAGGGAAUGACAUUUGAGAUGGUAUACUGAGUCAAUCGAACAACAAAAAGGAAGAACAAAAUUGCUGUAUUACAUAUUUACAUGCAGUCACGUUGGGCACAAACUGAAAAAUGAGUUCGCGAUAAGAUAACAUAAGCCUGUCGUAGUUAAACAUAACAGAGAUGCACAAAGAAGCUCUUCGCAGUUCACCGGAUGAAAUAGUUGGGUGUUCUGGAUAGGUGGACUCCCGGUUGUGCCCAGCUGCGGCAACUGCCACACCCCACUGCCACCGGACGGCGCCCCCAUCCAGGAGUACACAAGUUGCCCCACGCCAACCGAGGUCUUUCAAAUCUUCUCUAUCAUUGUCAUCACAAAAGGACUUUCAUCAGUGGCUCGCUGACAAUCUCCCGCAAACCCUACAAGAGAUUCAAGGAAGUUUAAACUUCCAUUUUGCACAUGUGCAAUUGAGUCACUCACCUUCCUAGAUUAGGUCAGAUCUAUUAUCCAUAAUUUAAAUUUGCAGUCAACGCACCCUACCGUAGAUCCCAACAUGUAUGUGCUCACAUCACCAUCAUAUGUACAUUUUCUCCUACUCCACCUAUUAGCUAUGCCUACGGCUACCCCACCAUUGAUGUCUCCUCUACCUAAUUGAGCAUCAUCCCGAGUAGCAUCACUCAUCGUUACAUCCUAAUCGAGCAUAAUUUUUUGCAAGAAUCAUUUUCUUUUACGCGGAACAAUCUAUUAUCCAUUGGACAAUUUAAAAUGAAUGUACACAUUCUGCUUUACCGAAACUCAAAACUAUCAUGAGUGAAUAUUCUUGCAGAAUGAAAUUGAUUUCUUAUAAUAAUACACUUACAAUGGUGUGUACUAGAUAAAAAUGAUUAAAAGGAAGCAUUUCCCAGUGGUAACCGUAAAAUAAACACUGCAAAUCAAGCGAUAGAAAUUUCAGAUUUAUUGAAGCCUGGCACUUGAAAGAUUAUUUUUAUGUUUUCCUAAAAUAAGUCUCCCAUGAACACAUUGCACGAAUGAGCAGGAAGACAGAGUGCAAACUUAUAUGUACACUAACUUGUCCCUUCAUCCAUUUUGAAUAGACCAGCUACAAAAGCUCACUUGGUUCAUUCUCACCAGAAUUCACUGACAUGAUAAUCAACCAUGUCCUGCAGUGUCCCCAAAAAGGUAGAUAGUCUAGAAGUUGAACUAAUCAAGUUUCAAAGAAAAUGUAUUUUACUUUUUACAUAAAUGAAAAUAGUAGCGACAGCUAAAGUAUCUCAAGGGAAUGUGAAGAUGGCAGUAAACACAGGAAACAAACCCGAAAACAAAGUGAAGCCUUCAUCUUAUAUGCCAAUCGAUGCUCAUAGCGUCAACAUGAUACUGUAUGAAAUGACAGAGAAAUUAUUCAUACAGACCUAAAAUAUUUCGUCUACAUACAGGCCACAACACCAACAUAUUGGGUGUAUACAACUUAGUAGAAAAGGGUGGCGUGGCCUACUGGAAACAAAGACAUGCAAUAAGGAAAUAUAGAAGCAAUAAUAGUAGAUGUGGUAGAAACAGUAUUGGUGUUAAUCAGCUCAAAACUCCCACACCUGGCGCGUCCAACCUGACAAUUAAGUGCACACAAAAAUGGUUUCGCUAUCCCAUAAAUAAGACCAACAAAAUUUAGCAUCUUUACGGGAAAAUACACCUAUAUAUAUUUCUUGGAUUUCCUACAAAGAAAAUCAUGGGAAGUGCCUAAAAGAAGGUUAACAUAGAGCUAACAAAUACGUACAAACCAGACAAUAAAUGCAUAGCGUCUGGGGAACGAAACCACUACCAGAUACAUGGUAUCGCAUGAGUGACUGCCCUUCCUCUAGCCUGCAACAUCUAGGAGCUGCAUAUAUGCUUUCAGGUUUGUGCUAAGUCUGCAAAUUCAGAAUAUGCCCAAAGACAAUGUACAUAGAUUUAGUUCUUUGCGAUCCAAUAUAUUCAGGAAAGAACAGUUUUAGUUCCAUAGAGAAGGAAUAAAAAAAUUCGACCAAGAUACCAUCAGCCUGCUUAUGUGAUCAACAUAUAAUUACUGGAUUUCAACUUAAAUAAAUUCUUUGGAGAUGAUGUGCUAGCUAUAAAGGGAAUGACAUUUGAGAUGGUAUACUGAGUCAAUCGAACAACAAAAAGGAAGAACAAAAUUGUUGUAUUACAUAUUUACAUGCAGUCACGUUGGGCACAAACUGAAAAAUGAGUUCGCGAUAAGAUAACAUAAGCCUGUCGUAGUUAAACAUAACGGAGAUGCACACAGAAGCUCUUCGCAGUUCACCGGAUGAAAUAGUUGGGUGUUCUGGAUAGGUGGACUCCCGGUUGUGCCCAGCUGCGGCAACUGCCACACCCCACUGCCACCGGACGGCGCCCCCAUCCAGGAGUACACAAGUUGCCCCACGCCAACCGAGGUCUUUCAAAUCUUCUCUAUCAUUGUCAUCAC